UGGUGGUGUGAAUUGUCUGGUUAAUUCCGUUAACGAACGAGACCUCGACCUGCUAAAUAGAGCACAUUUGUCUUCGGGCAAGUGCAGCUCUUCUUAGAGGGACUAUCGGUGUUUAGCCGAAGGAAGUUCGAGGCAAUAACA
rnacentral:rRNA from 1 species